UUUUAGGGAGGAGAGGGAAAGAGUUACUGUCUGUCAGAUAAGUUACUAAAGGCACCCGGGGGCCAGCCGGCCGCUCCUCCCGGGCUCCGGAGCCGGGGCUGGCGAAGGCGGGUCCCGCAGGCCGGCGGGAGGGCGGGCUCACGCCUCCCCCACCCCGCGCAGGUGGAGGGCGCAGGCAGAUGGAUGAAAAGUAAGACGAGAAUUUUAUUUUCCUGUGUUGCAGUUUUCCCUUAGCCAUUAUUAGCCGAGAUGAACAAGGUGGACAGAACAUGCAAACAAAUGCUCUUUGCCCGUUUCCCUGCUUACUUCCAUUGGACUAAGCUUGCCCGUGUGUAUCUAGAUCCACCUUGGAGAGGUAUUACUUUUGCUUCCAAGUGUAGAAUUUAGAUCCAGACUUUCAUUGCUACCCUUCUGUGUCGUGUACAAUUUGCUGUUUGAAACAAAGAGGAUCCUGACAUCGCGUCACGGGCACCCACAGAUCCCCUCCAGUAAUAGCCACAGUUGCUUUUGUCGGUGGCACUGUUGCUGUGAUGAACCUGACCGUGUUGCUCAUAGGCUUUUGAACUGGUCUGUAGGAGGAAUGUAGAAGAGCUUGGUGCUUCAUCCUAGAGAAGCCUUCUAAUUCUUCAAGCUGAACUUAACAAGUCAUUCUAGUGGGAACUCAGAGGAUCAGCAUCAUGCCAGCAGAAAUGGAGACAUGAGUAUGCUGAAGAACGUCUUUAACUGUUCCUGCUUAGGAAUGACCCCAGCCAUAAAGUAUUUUCCUAUCACAGCGCCAUUCUGAGACAAGAGAUAAGGAAGCCCUGGCCCCUCCGUGCUCAUCACAGCAGGGAGUGGAGGAAAAGCUACUGUCACCGACUGGAGGGACGAGGUUGCCCCAGCUUUGGUAUCCGGAGUUUCACCUUCCCAGUGGGAGCCUCAGUCAAUGCUGUCACCCACAGGCUGGCCUCAGGGGACCUUCUCCCUCCUAGGAUGGAGAUGUAGCUCAGGAAUGGAGUAUACACUGAGCUGAAGCCCUCCGAUAUAAGCUCUGGCACCACAAUAAACAGGCAAACUCAUUCUAAGGUGCGGGGGUCCCCAUGCCGGCGUCUGACGUAACAAACAGCUGAUUCCAGUCACCUUAUCCUUCUGCAGGACACGGUCUAGCCGGUUGUACAGUUGCCUUUCACCUUUAAUGUUAUAUUGACUCUUGUUAAUCUUGAUGUAGAAGUCACAUGACCCUUAAUGAUUCCCCUACAGCUGUAGUCAUUACUUCCUGACUUACGCUCGGAAUCUUGGCCAACUGCUGGGUUUUAUCCUGGCCAUGUGGUGGACCCUCUCUCUCAAACUGCUGCUCCUCUCAUUGCCGUCUGUCAGCCUGGAAGAAUGGCCCCAAACCCUCAAAGCAAUUCAGAUGACCUCUAAAAGGAGACUAAUGGGCCACGGGCCAUCCCAUUCACCCCUCUUUGUGCCACCCUGGGCACCGUCUGGGACACUGAACUCAGCUGGACUGAAGCCUUCUGAGAAUCAGUUAAACUCUCGGUCUCACCGGCUCAGGUCAGCUUCACAGCCGUGACUGAUGUAGUCCUCCAAGAUUAAAAAGGACCAGAUCUGCUGGGCGGUGGUGGCGCACACCUUUAACCCCAGGACUCGGGAGGCAGA